rnacentral:rRNA from 1 species
GACGGAGGAUGCAAGCGUUAUCCGGAAUUAUUGGGCGUAAAGCGUCCGCAGGUGGCUGUUCAAGUCUGCUGUCAAAGCGCAGAGCUUAACUCUGUACAGGCGGUGGAAACUGAAGAGCUAGAGUAUGGUAGGGGUAGAGGGAAUUCCCGGUGUAGCGGUGAAAUGCGUAGAGCUCGGGAAGAACAUCGGUGGCGAAAGCGCUCUGCUGGACUGCAACUGACACUCAGGGACGAAAGCUAGGGGAGCGAAUGGG